rnacentral:rRNA from 1 species
CUACGGGUGGCUGCAGUCAAGAAUAUUCCGCAAUGGACGAAAGUCUGACGGAGCGACGCCGCGUGCAGGAAGACGCCCCUCGGGGUGUAAACUGCUUUUAUAUGGGAAGAAUUAGUGACGGUACCAUAUGAAUAAGAGGUUGCUAACUCUGUGCCAGCAGCAGCGGUAAUACAGAGACCUCAAACGUUGUCCGGAUUCAUUGGGCGUAAAGCGUCCGCAGGUGGUUUUGUAAGUUAAUUGUCAAAUCUCGAGGCUUAACUUCGAGACUGCGAUUAAUACUGCAAAACUAGAGACUGGAAGAGGCACACGGAACUGUAGGUGUAGUAGUAAAAUGCGUUGAUAUCUACAGGAACACCAAAGGCGAAGGCAGUGUGCUAGGACAGUUCUGACACUCAUGGACGAAAGCGUGGGUAGCGAAUGGGAUUAGAUACCCCAGUAGUC